GCAAGGAGGCCCAUUUUUAAACAGAGCAUGGAGCUGCAGCCAAUUACCAUUUUCUGUUUCCAAUCAUGCCUAAAGAGGGUGAAAAUAAAACAGAAGAGUAAAACAGGAAGAACACAAUGCAAAGCAAUCACAGAAUAAAAGCUACAUGGGGGAGUUGAUGAUAUGUUAUAAUACUUAUAAUCACCCUCUGUGGUAAAUUAUAGAUUAAACCAACCCAGUCCAUUA